GCCCCGUAGCUCGAGGGGAAGAGCACUUCUCUCCUAAAGAAGGUGUCGCAGGUUCGAAUCCUGCCGGGGGCA
rnacentral:tRNA from 1 species